rnacentral:rRNA from 1 species
AGAACGAACGCUGGCGGCAGGCUUAACACAUGCAAGUCGAACGGCUGUAGCAAUACAGCAGUGGCAGACGGGUGAGUAACACGUGGGAACCUUCCUCGGGGUACGGAACAACUCAGGGAAACUUGAGCUAAUACCGUAUACGUCCGCAAGGAGAAAGAUUUAUCGCCCUGAGACGGGCCCGCGUCGGAUUAGGUAGUUGGUGGGGUAACGGCCUACCAAGCCUACGAUCCGUAGCUGAUCUGAGAGGAUGAUCAGCCACACUGGGACUGAGACACGGCCCAGACUCCUACGGGAGGCAGCAGUGGGGAAUCUUGGACAAUGGGCGCAAGCCUGAUCCAGCCAUGCCGCGUGAGUGAAGAAGGCCUUAGGGUUGUAAAGCUCUUUUACCAGGGACGAUAAUGACGGUACCUGGAGAAUAAGCCCCGGCAAACUUCGUGCCAGCAGCCGC